rnacentral:rRNA from 1 species
CCUACGGGAGGCAGCAGUGGGGGAUAUUGCGCAAUGGGCGAAAGCCUGACGCAGCGACGCCGCGUGGGUGAUGAAGGCCUUCGGGUCGUAAAGCCCUGUCGAGGGGAACGAAACGGUCUCGACCCAAUACGUCGAGGCCCUGACGGUACCCCUAAAGGAAGCACCGGCUAACUCCGUGCCAGCAGCCGCGGUAAUACGGAGGGUGCGAGCGUUGUUCGGAAUCACUGGGCGUAAAGGGCGUGUAGGCGGUCCGCUAAGUCUGAUGUGAAAGCCCGGGGCUCACCCCCGGAAGGGCAUUGGAAACUGGCGGACUCGAGUCCCGGAGAGGAAGGUGGAAUUCCUGGUGUAGCGGUGAAAUGCGUAGAUAUCAGGAGGAAUACCGGUGGCGAAGGCGGCCUUCUGGACGGUGACUGACGCUGAGACGCGAAAGCGUGGGGAGCAAACAGGAUUAGAUACCCUGGUAGUCCACGCUGUAAACGAUGAGCACUAGGUGUCGUGGGUAUUGACCCCCGCGGUGCCGACGCUAACGCAUUAAGUGCUCCGCCUGGGGACUACGGCCGCAAGGUUAAAACUCAAAGGAAUUGACGG